GCUAUUUCAUUUUACCCCUCAUUAACCCACACAGUUUAAAACCUGCCUGUACAUCACCCAUAUUAAUACUUAUAUCUAUUCAACAUUUAAUCUUCGUGGCUGAUCCAGUCUUCUCUCUUUACAGAAAGCCACGAGCACCAGCACAGAACAUUUUUCGGCGGUUCUACUCGCACUAAUGGUUUCACUGCAAAAGCGCUAAUCACAUUAUGUCCCAUCGCCUCUUGAAGUGGCAUAAUAAAGAACAUACGAUCGCAGUGACUACAGCCAGGUUAAGGGCCCUUGUUGAAAGAAAACAAAUGAUGUAUGUGUUUGGCAUUCCAUGGAAAGUUUUUUAUGCUCUUCUUUUGUGCCCCCGAGGUUGUGUUUCCAUAAUGAGCACGCGCUUCCAAGCGUCAGACAGGAGCUAUAGCUUAAGCAGAACGUACGCAAUGGAAUACCCACGAACGAAAAGUAACGCCCACAUUCAUUACCAGCGGUCGUCUUUCUUCCUGGAACUUCCACUUUCGUAACGCUUCCACGACAAAGAGGCAGCACCUUACGUGAGCCCAGCUUCGCCACUAUCAUUAGAGGAAAGUGACGACCGGUGACGGCGCUUCUGCUGCGAUGUGACGUCUCGAAAACCUACGCAUCGUGGGUUACCUCGCGUUGUCGCUUGCAUGUCAUUACAGUCCAGUGUAUAUAUACAGCCAGCUCCAUUUGCAACGUACAAAACAGCUCUUUGGCUCGUUGCACAGUGAAGCUUUACUCUUCAGGGCAGAAGCAGACGGAUAAUCAUGAAGGCUGUGCUGUGUUUGCUGGUCAUUUGCCUCAUACUGGCCACUGCUGUAGCAAUUAAGGGCUUCGGCCACAAAGGCGGCUUUGGCGGCGGACAUGGCCACGGAGGAGGAUACGGACACGGAGGAGGAUUUGGCCAUGGAGGUGGUUUCGGCGGUCAUGGUGGCAAGUUUGGCAAGUUCCACGGAUAGUCACCAACAGCUCAUCAUGCACUCGACACAAUUUCUUCAAACGUGCGGCGACCAGAGCGCCCGAACAGCCGGCAAACGAAGAAGAGUACAAAACGCGCAAUAUAUUUCGGAAUAAAAUUUCCUUGCCUUUCUCUGA